CUACCCUGGAGCCACGCUCUGUGAUGGGCCCCGUCCUCGCGGACGGGC
rnacentral:misc_RNA from 1 species